rnacentral:rRNA from 1 species
CCUACGGGAGGCAGCAGUGGGGAAUAUUGGACAAUGGGCGAAAGCCUGAUCCAGCCAUGCCGCGUGUGUGAAGAAGGCCUUCGGGUUGUAAAGCACUUUAAGCGAGGAGGAAUGGCUGAGGGUUAAUAACCUUCAGCAGUGACGUUACUCGCAGAAUAAGCACCGGCUAACUCUGUGCCAGCAGCCGCGGUAAU